UACGAAGGGGGCUAGCGUUGUUCGGAAUCACUGGGCGUAAAGGGCGCGUAGGCGGCCUGAUAAGUCGGGGGUGAAAGCCUGUGGCUCAACCACAGAAUUGCCUUCGAUACUGUUAGGCUUGAGACCGGAAGAGGUAAGUGGAACUGCGAGUGUAGAGGUGAAAUUCGUAGAUAUUAGGAAGAACACCAGUGGCGAAGGCGGCUCACUGGUCCGGUACUGACGCUGAGGUGCGAAAGCGUGGGGAGCAAACAGG
rnacentral:rRNA from 1 species